UACAGAGGUGCCAAGCGUUAGGCGGAAUCACUGGGCUUAAAGCGCGUGUAGGUGGGUCGUUAAGUGUCCGCGUGAAAUCCCACGGCUCAACCGUGGAACUGCUGGGCAUACUGCGGGUCUGGGCCAACUAGGGGCAGCCGGAACAAGCGGUGGAGCGGUGAAAUGCGUAGAUAUCGCUUGGAACGCCGAAGGUGAAAACAGGCUGCUGGGAAUGUG
rnacentral:rRNA from 1 species